UUUUAAAUCAAAAUGUUCUCCAUGACUGACUGCUUUGCAGCACUAGGUGCGCAGCCCUACAAAUUAAAUUGAUGAUUGCCACAUUGGGCCAAAAAUGCAACAGGAGAAGGCUGUGAAAAAUUAGGAAAUCUUCUUGACAUCGGGAAAUCCGACACUUGUCUGCUCUAACAUCUGUAAGUGCCAAAGAAAGGGGGAUUUUUUUUCCUUAAAGGUAAGUCUAUUUUUCUUCUUCUUGCCAGAUAUAAAAAUUGUGGUUAGUGCCUGGAGUAAGGGGCCCUCUAAACUUUAUAGUGUUUACCCUCCAUUUAUAAAUCCAUAAUGAUCUAAUUAAUGAUAUCAUAAGGUUAAAAGUUAAACAGCACUGUAUUUUCUCUGCCUUUUAGAAAGGCAGGUUUGCCUAUCUCCGAGAGAAGAUCGGUCGGGGCUGUUUUCUGAAGAAGCCUGUAGGUAAAGAGGCAUCCAUACAUUCACACAGGAGGAUUCAUAAAGGCAAGGACGAGGAGAUAAAGCCUAAAACCUACAAUGAAUUUACAUCAUCUGUAUGGAGCUUUGGACCAACAGGUUGUUGCCACUUUUGCUGCCUUUGCCUCUGAGAAGUUGAGUAAAUGCUCUGGCCCCUUUCAAAUAUUUUCUCAUCUGCGCUGAAUUUCUACCGACAAAUCAACUGAUAGAUACGGACCUAAGAAAAAAUUAUUAUCAUUGAGUAAGCUUUCUUUUUUUUUUUUACUUAAUCUGAGGCAAUUAGUACCUGAAUAAACACAGGCUAAGUAAUCUACCUCCUCAAAAGGUAAUCAGACUUGAAAAGCGCUGUUUGGCUCUACCCAAGAAAAGCGCAACUUGAUUAAAUUGCUUUGGAGAUUUGCUUUCAUUUCUUCC